GAUACAUAGUGAUGCCGAAUUACCUGAGAUUAGUGAAAAUGGGCCAUGUGUCAGUGAGAACAAUCAGGAGUCUGAGGACAGUUUAUCAGUACAGACAGAGAGAGCAAAUCUUCCUAUAAAGACAUCUGAAGAAAACAAGAGUCAGUGCCCACCACAAUGUGCCCAGGACGAGGCUUCAGACUUGAUCAAGGAGGAUGGUAGAUGUCUUUGUAUAAAGCCAGAAACAACUUCUACUGGGACCCAGGUAAAGCCUGGAACAACAGUUAAGGGAGUUCAAGUCAGUAGAAAAGUUCAAGUCACUAAUGCUGUGAAAGGUAGUGUAUAAUAUUUAGUUAA